GCGAUACAGGGUGACAGCCCCGUACACAAAAAUGCACAUGCUGUGAGCUCGAUGAGUAGGGCGGGACACGUGGUAUCCUGUCUGAAUAUGGGGGGACCAUCCUCCAAGGCUAAAUACUCCUGACUGACCGAUAGUGAACCAGUACCGUGAGGGAAAGGCGAAAAGAACCCCGGCGAGGGGAGUGAAAAAGAACCUGAAACCGUGUACGUACAAGCAGUGGGAGCACGCUUAGGCGUGUGACUGCGUACCUUUUGUAUAAUGGGUCAGCGACUUAUAUUCUGUAGCAAGGUUAACCGAAUAGGGGAGCCGAAGGGAAACCGAGUCUUAACUGGGCGUUAAGUUGCAGGGUAUAGACCCGAAACCCGGUGAUCUAGCCAUGGGCAGGUUGAAGGUUGGGUAACACUAACUGGAGGACCGAACCGACUAAUGUUGAAAAAUUAGCGGAUGACUUGUGGCUGGGGGUGAAAGGCCAAUCAAACCGGGAGAUAGCUGGUUCUCCCCGAAAGCUAUUUAGGUAGCGCCUCGUGAAUUCAUCUCCGGGGGUAGAGCACUGUUUCGGCAAGGGGGUCAUCCCGACUUACCAACCCGAUGCAAACUGCGAAUACCGGAGAAUGUUAUCACGGGAGACACACGGCGGGUGCUAACGUCCGUCGUGAAGAGGGAAACAACCCAGACCGCCAGCUAAGGUCCCAAAGUCAUGGUUAAGUGGGAAACGAUGUGGGAAGGCCCAGACAGCCAGGAUGUUGGCUUAGAAGCAGCCAUCAUUUAAAGAAAGCGUAAUAGCUCACUGGUCGAGUCGGCCUGCGCGGAAGAUGUAACGGGGCUAAACCAUGCACCGAAGCUGCGGCAGCGACGCUUAUGCGUUGUUGGGUAGGGGAGCGUUCUGUAAGCCUGCGAAGGUGUGCUGUGAGGCAUGCUGGAGGUAUCAGAAGUGCGAAUGCUGACAUAAGUAACGAUAAAGCGGGUGAAAAGCCCGCUCGCCGGAAGACCAAGGGUUCCUGUCCAACGUUAAUCGGGGCAGGGUGAGUCGACCCCUAAGGCGAGGCCGAAAGGCGUAGUCGAUGGGAAACAGGUUAAUAUUCCUGUACUUGGUGUUACUGCGAAGGGGGGACGGAGAAGGCUAUGUUGGCCGGGCGACGGUUGUCCCGGUUUAAG
rnacentral:rRNA from 1 species